GCCAAACGGGCCAAACACUGGAGGGAGU
rnacentral:sRNA from 1 species